AUGGCACCGAGUCCCCCCCCCAGCACCCUCGGGCUCCCCUGCCCGCCCCUCACAGCACCCAUGGGUGCCACUCACGAGGUGCUCCUCCAGGUGGGUGACGAGGAGGGCGAGGUACUCGUGCACCAGGUUCUGGCAGGGGGUCACCAUGGUGGGCACCGGCAGCGCCGAGCACUCCCGGCGCAGAAAUCCCUCCACGGCCACCUGCACCCACAGCCACCAUGGCACCCGCGGGGGCACCCGCACCUCGUGUCCCCCCCCACCUUGGUGUCACCCCCCCCCGUGUCCCUCAGCACCUUGGUGGCCGACUCGUUGGCCAUGCGGAUGAGCAGGGUGACGACCUCCUGGCAGUCGGCGCACAUGUCCUCCUGCGAGGGGGGGGCACCCACACCGGGACGUGUGGGGACGGGGGGGGCACGGGGACGGGGGGUACAGGGCACGGGGAAAGGGGUUUGGGGACAUGGGGACAUGUGGUGUGGAGUAUGGGGGCACGGGGAAACGGAGUUGGGGACAUGGUUGGGGACAUAUAGCAUGGGGUACAGGACAUGGGAAUGGACUUGGGGACAUGGGGACAUAGGACGUGGAGGAUGGGGGCAUGGGGAAGCAGAGUUUGGGGCAUAUUACGUGGGGACACGGGAAAAAGGACUUGGGGACAUGGGGACAUAUAGUACGGAGUGUAGGGUCAUGGGAAAAUGGACUUGGGGACAUGGGGACAUAAGGCGUGGAGCAUGGGGACAUGGGGAAGUGACCAUGGGGACAUGGAGAAAUGGACUUGGGGACAUGGCAAAGGGGUGUGGGGACAUGGGGUAUCAUUAUAUGGGGAGGGGGAGUAGGGGACACACAAACAUGUGGCGUGGGAACGUGCCUAUGGGGCACGGGGACAAGGGGCACGGGGCAUGGGAAUGUGGGGACAGAGGGACACGGCGCGGGCCAUGGGACAUAGGGUAUGGGGCGUGGGGCGCGGGGACACGGGGGGCACAGGGACAUGGGGACAGGGGGAGGGGGACAUGGGAACAUGGGGGACACAGGGUCAUAGGGCGUGGGAUAUGGGGUGGGGGGGACACAGGGCGUGGGGAUGGGGUGGAUGGGGAAUAG
rnacentral:lncRNA from 1 species